rnacentral:rRNA from 1 species
GGGGGGGGGGGGGGGGGGGGUGGGCGGGGGCAGGGCGGGCGGGGGGGCCUGCUGGCCCUUGUGUGGGGCGGGUGCUCGAGUGGCGAACGGGGGGGUAACCCGUGAGUGAUCUGCACACAACUUGGGGAUUGGCCUGGGAAACGGGGGCUCAUUCCCGAUAGGACUGCAGGAUGGGUCCUGUGGUGGUAACCGGUUUUCUAUCGUUUGCGGAUGAGCUCGCGGCCUAUUAGCGUGUUCGUGGGGGACGGGCCUACCAAGGCGUCUACGGGUAGCCGGCCUGAGAGGGUGGACGGUCACAUUGGGACUGAGAUACGGCCCAGACUCCUACGAGAGGCAGGAGAGGGGGAUAUUGCACAAUGGGCGGAAGCCUGAUGCAGCGACGCCGUGUGGGAGAUGACGGCGUUCGGGUUGUAAACUCCUGUCGACCGCAAGGAAGCCACCUGGUUGGAAGGGUGGUGACGGUAGUGGUAGAAGAAGCACCGGCUAACUACGUG